CAGAGUUAUCCAACUCCCAAACCCAUGUGAACUUAUCUCUUUGUUGCCUCGGCGCAAGCUACCACGGACCUCGCGCCCCGGGCGGCCCCGCCGGCGGACAAACCAAAACUCUUGUUAUCUUAGUUGAUUAUCUGAGUGUCUUAUUUAAUAAGUCA
rnacentral:misc_RNA from 1 species